UACGUAGGGUGCAAGCGUUGUCCGGAAUUAUUGGGCGUAAAGAGCUCGUAGGCGGUUUGUCGCGUCGAAUGUGAAAACCCGGGGCUCAACCCCGGGCCUGCAUUCGAUACGGGCAGACUAGAGGUAGGUAGGGGAGAAUGGAAUUCCCGGUGUAGCGGUGAAAUGCGCAGAUAUCGGGAGGAACACCGGUGGCGAAGGCGGUUCUCUGGGCCUUACCUGACGCUGAGGAGCGAAAGCGUGGGGAGCGAACAGG
rnacentral:rRNA from 1 species